UACGUAGGUGGCAAGCGUUUGUCCGGAAUUAUUGGGCGUAAAGCGCGCGCAGGCGGUCCUUUAAGUCUGAUGUGAAAGCCCACGGCUCAACCGUGGAGGGUCAUUGGAAACUGGGGGACUUGAGUACAGAAGAGAAGAGUGGAAUUCCACGUGUAGCGGUGAAAUGCGUAGAGAUGUGGAGGAACACCAGUGGCGAAGGCGACUCUUUGGUCUGUAACUGACGCUGAGGCGCGAAAGCGUGGGGAGCAACAGAU
rnacentral:rRNA from 1 species